ACCUUGUGAUUCGGCUACCCACAUCAAAACGCAACAACAUCUAUAUGUCUUUUUUUUUUGCCAUUAUCUUCGCUCCGCUGCCACUUUUACGGGUAGAUUACCUAAAAACCGAAAGCACAAAGACCAUAACGCCACUCCCCCCCUCCAGAAUCUAUUCCUGCCUUGCUCACUCACUCGUGCUCGCUUGUGUAUCUUUUUGCUCGUCUUUUUUUUUCCCUGUUGCACCCGUCCCCUUCUCCCUCCCUCCAACGAUCACAGAGCCGCGGUCGUGCACUUUGGGAUUUGACGGAUCUUGAGAGGGCCAAAGAAGCACCAGAACGCAAAAAAAAAUGCGCGCAACAACAGCACACACCUUCAGCCAGCAAACAAAAAGGUCGGAGAAAGGGAAGCGGGAAUAUCAAAGGCUGAAUGAAGCCACCCACCCGCAUACACAUACAAGCAUACAUCUCUCUCUAUAUGUAUCCAUAUAUCUAGACGUAUAACUAUAUAUAUAUAUAAACAGAUAGAGAUACACAUAUACAGAUAGGCGCGUAAACUAGGACCAACAUAUCCCUCUCAGACACUCGCCCCACACACCUCCCCAGAAUGCCCCGACGUUUCUUCCCUUAGCUGUCGUUCACUACGGUGUAGGUGUACCCAGAAACGGUGAAUCAUGACAAAUCUCUAUUCUUCUGUCUAGCAGCUAGUUGGCGAGAUCAGCUCCAUCCACUGGAACGAAAAAGGAACCAAACAGUUGGCUUCGUCCGAGUGGUGCCCAAAGGGCUGCUUUGCUAUUUUUUUUUUGCUAACGUUGGUGAAACGCGCAUGUGAACUUCUUUCUCGCCUUCUAAAACGUUUUUCUCGCACGCUUCAGUCGCGGGGCCGGGUGUUUUUUUUUUUCUGCUUAUUUGUCUCGUCACGUUCCCACUGCGAAAAAAAAAAGUGUCGUGCCCUCUUGUGCUGGGGGUCUCUGCGGUUUCUUUCGGCCGGCCUCCGGCAGCGUCGCACGAGCGUGCGUUCGUGUGUGUCGGUCGUGAUAGCUCCUCCUUUUCCUCUCUCUAUGCUGAGUAGGAUGCGAACUGUUUCUGCUGGCUUGCGUGCUAGGUCGAGUCAGCUCUACUGCGGCCAACCCCUAUCAUGUCGGCCACCGGGUGAGAGAUGAUGGAUAAGGAAGGGUGAACCCCACACUUGUAUAG
rnacentral:misc_RNA from 1 species